rnacentral:rRNA from 1 species
CCUACGGGAGGCAGCAGUGGGGAAUAUUGGGCAAUGGGCGCAAGCCUGACCCAGCAACGCCGCGUGAAGGAAGAAGGCCCUCCGGUUGUAAACUUCUUUUGUCAGGGACGAAACAAAUGACGGUACCUGCCGCAUAAGCCACCCCUAAAUACGUGCCUGCAGCAGCGGCAUUACGUCGGUGGCAAGCGUUAGCCGGAUUUACUGGGUGUAAAGGGCGUGUAGGUGGGAGGGCAAGUCAGAUGUGAAAUUCCAGGGGUGAUCCCUGGAAAUGCAUUUGAAACUGUUUUGCUUGAGUGAUGGAGAGGCAGGCGGAAUGCCGGGUGUAGCGGUGAAAUGCGUAGAUAUACGGCAGAACACCAGUGGCGAAGGCAGCCUGCUGGACAUUAACUGACGCUGAGGCGCGAAAGCGUGGGGAUCAAACAGGAUUAGAUACCCGAGUAGUC